CUACGGGUUGCUGCAGUGGGGAAUAUUGCACAAUGGGGGGAACCCUGAUGCAGCAACGCCGCGUGGAGGAUGACGCAUUUCGGUGUGUAAACUCCUUUUAUCAGAGAAGAAGAUGACGGUAUCUGAUGAAUAAGCACCGGCUAACUCCGUGCCAGCAGCCGCGGUAAUACGGAGGGUGCAAGCGUUAUUCGGAAUCACUGGGCGUAAAGGACGCGUAGGCGGGUCAUUAAGUCAGGUGUGAAAUCCUACAGCUUAACUGUAGAACUGCACUUGAAACUGGCGACCUAGAGUAUGGAAGGGGCAGAUGGAAUUAGUGGUGUAGGGGUAAAAUCCGUAGAUAUCACUAGGAAUACCGAAAGCGAAGGCGAUCUGCUGGGACAUUACUGACGCUGAGGCGUGAAAGCGUGGGGAGCAAACAGGAUUAGAUACCCCCGUAGUC
rnacentral:rRNA from 1 species